AUGAAACUCCUUCACCACAAAAAUUACCUGAAAAUUACAGCGAGAAGAUCUGAGGGGCCCCAAAAUACCACCAAACUAUUAUGGGUGAAUUGCACGUUGCCCUUUAUGAGAAUGCAUCCUUCAGAGCAGAAAAUAAAAUUAAGAAAAUCUAAAAUUUUAAAAGAGGACAAAAGCUCACUGUUCCUGGAGUGUUGUGAGAAAGCACCAGAAGCUGAGCUGAUGUUGGAACUAUACUGCCAAAGGAAGCAUAUUGCCUUCCCUUGGCAGCUGUACUGUACUACUGCAGUUUCUGGUAGCCUGUUUGUGACACGCGCUGGCAGCAACAACAUUAGAACUGUUCUCCUUGAAUGACCAUCUCAGGAAUACCUAUUAACUCGCACCUACAAACAAGCCAACUCCCAAAGAAGAAUGAUGAACUAAGGGGAAAGAAGACUCCUCCAUAUCAACCUUUUCACAGUCAAGAAAUUCUAUGCCAUAUCUUGCAUAUGCAGAGGAAGGUGCCCCUCCAAACCAGUUGGAACAGAAGCACAAAGAGAAUAAUGAAUCAUAAACUCAUAGGUAGAGGUUGAAAACGAUUUUCAGAGGUGACCUGAUGUAAUCCAUCUUCAUAAAGCAGUGCUAACUCUGAAGUCACGUACAGCACAUACAGAUGUACAGCAACUGGGCUACAAACAACUGAAAUUUGGCUGCUACAUCCAAAUAAAGAGUUAGCAACCACAAUCAGGGAAAAAAAGAUACAUUUGUAUAUAUAUAAAAUCACACUUUGUUGCUCCAACUGUAGGAAUGGCUAUCUUAACUUCUUGGUUAAGCUCAACCAUGAGAACAAAGCUUCUCAGACAUUCACAGGCAUUAGCUUGAAAGGGUCCCAUGUGUGGUGCGAGAGGCUGAUUUGCAAAUGAGACAUCAAAAGAUCCACUUUAGUGCUUACCUGGAGAUCUUGGCAGUCCUUAUGAAUGGAUACCUAGCUUGUUUAUUUUAAACCAUCCUUAUCAGCUGGAUUUCAUUUAAUUCAAUAAGUCUGACAAAUUAUUUGCCAAUAUUUAAAGAACUUUUUCCAUUUACAGUCCCGUAAAAAGCAUCUUUUACUUCAGUACUCUUAAAGUUAAAAGUGUUGGCUUUUAUUGAGGUUACAUCUGAAUGUAUGUGUUACGUGUCAGUUUUUCACAUAUGUUUUACAUUAACAAUGUCAUACCUUCAAUUGAGUUUAUAAUAAAAGCCAUAACAAUGGUGCCCACUCUACUGGAGUCCAGGCUCAGAAACAAUGAAUGUUCAUGAAAGUGUUUCAGAAAGAUUAAGAACAAGAAGGACCAGAAUAGCAAAGCCUGGGAUGCUCUCCUGGAAACAAGAUGUAAGAGCAUGACUUUCUUCAUGUAAAGCAAUUUGAUACCGCAUUCUCUGGAUAAGCUGUCUACCCAUGGGCAAGAGGGUCAGACUUCUCGUGUCACUUUACUGAAAGCGUUUAUAGACCUCCUGAAUUUUGUAAAUGCAAAGGGUGAAAAUCUCAGUAGUAAGACUAGAGUAAUAGUAGCUAACCAUCUAAAGUUUCAUGUUGUCUAUUUCUAAUACUAUUCAAUUUAGGAAAAAAGAAAAAAGGAAAAAUUACUCUCCUUGUGUUUCAAUUACUGAAUUUUCUCCUUCAGCAUGGUAAACAAGUAGCUUAACAAUCACUGUCCUAAUCUUGAAGCUGACCUCAUUUUUUAGAGUUUUGAAGAGAGCUUUCAAAUUAUAGUUCAAUAAGAAAAUGUGUAACUGAGUUACUUAGCAGAGAAAUCAGGGCUUACAAUAGAACACAGAAUGCUGAAGUUUCCUUAUUAAAGUUAUGCAGUUUAGCCAAAACAAUGGAACUGUAAAAGAUGAGGGGAUGUGCAACAGGCAGCGUUUCUACAGGUAGGGGUUGACAAGGGCAAGACAAGAAAAUAAUGAAAAAAACUUCUGAAAUACACAAUUUUAUUUUCUGGUUGAUUCUACUAUCUUCUGAUAUUCCUUUAUCAAAGGAAUAGUUUGUUUGUUUGUUUGUUUUCUUUAAUGUUUUCUUUUAUUCUUCUGUGUUACUUUCCCUAUUCGCUUUUCCAGCAAAUAAGCCUCUAAUAUAUAAUAAAUCAAAACUAGAUCUUCAAAAUACGAGAUCUGCAGGUUUUUACCUUCUGUGCAAGUUUUCAUUUAGUUUCCUUCAUGACUAUAACAACCUCCUACCGAGUCUACACAGUACAAGAUCAUACAUCAGUUCGAACAGAUCACCAGAAAAAUUUAAUCUAACAUUUGGAUUUGGUAAAUGCUUUCUUCUAGUGGUCAAUACAAAUAUCAUUUUUUGUUAUUGAAGAUUUUGAGAUCAAUAUUUAUUGGAAAAUAUCCUAACAAGUUCAUCUGUUUAAGGUUCAAGUCUGUUAUGCAUCUAUUUUCUUCUGAUAUGUCACAAGAAUAAUCAAAUUAAAUCAAUAAUUGCUUAAUUAACUCUUAUUUUGAGUGACAAUACCCUUAUACUCUUAACUGGACUUUGCUCUGAAUAAAUUAGAAUCUUCAUUUAUUUUCAAUAUCAAUCCUAGAGAGGUGCACGGUAAAUGUUAUGAUUCAUGUCAAAAUAUCUCUAUUGUUUUAAACUUCCUGCAGAGAUGGAUUAUGCAUGAUCCUUGCCUGGGGCAUUUGCCUAAAUUGCCUAUUUGUUUAACCAAAAGCAAAAGGUGCCUUUCAGUUUCUGCAGUGACUUAAGAACUACGGAAGAUAUUUAGUACUGUUGUUGAAGUUCAGAACAAAAUUCCAGAAAAACACUGCAAGAACAGUAAAGCUUGCAAUUUUAACAGCACUCUCCUCUUUGAUGGGAAAUGUCAAGUGUUACGGGUAGUGACCUCUCUGCUUUGGCUCACAUAGUAUCUCAAAAACGUCUGGUCACAUCCUGUGGUUAAACCAGUUGUCUGUGCUGAGCACAGCCCCCAUCGGACAGGUACUCCGAAUCAGAGGAAAUAUUCUAUUUCUACGAUUUUGUUAUAAACCAUAUCAACAGUAAGAUUAAUGAUUGGGAAAUGUGGCUAUGGUAGUGCUAUUAGUCACAAGACACCCGUGGAAAAACUACUGCCUGUCAACACUGAAGUGAAUUCUGAAACACUGAAGUGAGACAGCUUUAUGACUCCUGUCUCAAGGUUCAGUUUUUCAUUCAUUCUUUGCCACAAUUAUCCUUUAUUUUCAUUUUAAGAAAAUAUCAAAAAGUAGAACUGAUUCUUCAUCAUCACGCUCAGUUAUUCUGUGUAUACUUCUUAGGUUAUUAAUGUCUACUAAAAAAUUGCAAAUAUAUCUAAUGCUGACAUCCGACACCAAGUGCAAGUCUUUAUAGCAAUACUCUUCCAAAGCUGAACAAACUUGGAAGGAGAAUUCUAUUUUUAAAAGAAUUAGAAGGAAGGAAAUCAGCCCCAAUCCUUCACACACUUAAGCACCUGCAGAACUUAAUGAUGUGAGUACUCAGUUGGAGAUCAAUAACAAGCAUUUAGCAUAGAGUUAAUGCAGAAGCACUAAUGCUUCAGUGAUUGCAAGGUCAAACUCACGUCUCCUUAUAUGGAUUGUAGCAACACCUCAAAGAUAUGAGACACUAUGCAUUUUAGGGCAUUAUUAUAGCACACGUGGACAUUUCUGAGUAUUACCAAUACUACAAUUGAGAAAAAGAUAGCUUUUUUUUCCCCCUUUUAUCACUAGAUCAAAUAUCACUUAAUGAUAAUCACAGUUGCAAAUGAUGUAGUUGUUAUCAGUGGAAGAUAUUUUGAAACCCUUUUCUGAUUUGUACUUGUAUUUCUGUAUGCGUAAAUCAAGCUCUGACUAAUGUUAACUGUCUGUGUUCCUGAAUUAGAAUAAUAAAAAACAAAUUAACCAAUUUUUCUGAUGCUUUUCACCUUCAGAAAGGUUGUGUAACACUGCCUGUAUAUAGGUAAUGAUCACUUUCCCACAUUUCAUAAUUUUUUGUCCCAAGCCUGUGUAAAAUUGUCCUACACAGCCAGCAGAAACACCAGAAGAGAAUUCUCCACGGUCUGUGAAUUAUAUCUGCUUCUGUUAUAAUUUUGUGCUAUCACAAAAUAUCUAUGUUUUGGAGGAGGUUAUUCAGAGAGCAGCUUAUUUACUUUUUGCUCAUAUUCUGAGAGGUAUUGUGAAAGUUCAGAAUAAAGACCAUACUUUUCCAUUCUGUGCAAAAGAUAAAAAAGGAAAUGCAGUUUGUCUCUGGAUGAUGCUAGGGAUCAGAUGAAACAGAAAACGUCCAAGAACCAUGCAAGAAGUUCAGUUAACAAAGACAUCUUGGUAGAGAAGAAAAAGGCAACAUACUGCUUUUUGUCCAAGAAAGGAUGUGAGCUGGCUAACUCUUCCUGCACUCAGCAGGGUACAAUUGCAACACAGCAGAGCAAAAUGAACAGCCCACCCACCAGUGACUCUAAGAACAUAUCAUAUUAUUUGUUUCAGUCUAAGCAUUCUUUCACUUCACAGUUCUGUUUUUAGAUGAAACAUGUUCAGUUCUUUCACUCAUCUCCUUUUCCCAUUGUAGAUCUUGAGUUAAAACAUCAGCUCCUCCUUCAUUGCUAACAUUAAGGCAGAAAUAUUGGGCUAGAGGUGCAAUGGAAAAGAUUUGUUAGCAAGGAACAUCAAUAUACUUUCAAGACCUUAAAAAACAAUCAUAAAGGAGAAAGUGGUCUUUAAAUGACUACUUCUGGUGUAAACAGA
ensembl:lncRNA